CUACGGGGGGCUGCAGUGAGGAAUAUUGCACAAUGGGGGGAACCCUGAUGCAGCAACGCCGCGUGGAGGAUGACGCAUUUCGGUGUGUAAACUCCUUUUAUAUGUCAAGAAAAUGACGGUAGCAUAUGAAUAAGCGCCGGCUAACUCCGUGCCAGCAGCCGCGGUAAUACGGAGGGCGCAAGCGUUACUCGGAAUCACUGGGCGUAAAGGGCGCGUAGGCGGGUUGAAAAGUCAGGUGUGAAAGCCUACAGCUUAACUGUAGAACUGCACUUGAAACUCUCAAUCUAGAGUAUGGGAGGGGCAGAUGGAAUUAGUGGUGUAGGGGUAAAAUCCGUAGAUAUCACUAGGAAUACCUAAAGCGAAGGCGAUCUGCUGGAACAUUACUGACGCUAAGGCGUGAAAGCGUGGGGAGCAAACAGGAUUAGAUACCCUGGUAGUC
rnacentral:rRNA from 1 species